UGAGUAACGCGUGGGUAACCUGCCCUUAAGUCUGGGAUACCAUUUGGAAACAGAUGCCAAUACCGGAUAAAAGCUACUUUCGCAUGAAAGAAGUUUAAAAGGCGGCGUAAGCUGUCGCUAAAGGAUGGACCUGCGAUUCAGUAGCUAGUUGGUAAGGUAACGGCUUACCAAGGCGAUGAUGCAUAGCCGAGUUGAGAGACUGAUCGGCCACAUUGGGACUGAGACACGGCCCAAACUCCUACGGGAGGCAGCAGAU
rnacentral:rRNA from 1 species